GGAGGUUGUUGAUAGUCUUUGGCAGAGAUUCAGAACCCUGCAUUUUAAGUCUGUAAGAUAUUUCACAAGAGAGGCUGUGCAAAUGCUGAGGAUCUUUAGGCAAACAAAGACAGAAAACUACUUUAUCAAGCUGCAGCUCAAGUCAUCAGAGCAACAUAUCCUUGAAUUUCAUACAUGUUGAAAUAUGUUGUAUACCAAACAUGGUAAAUCUGCACCAAAUAAUAAGUUGUUCAGCUGGUUCAAUUCAAAGUGACAAUGUUAGUUUAAGAGGAAAAACAAUUUUACAUGCUACUUCUGCUUUAAAUUAUUUUAUAGUCUAUCUGUGGUUAAGUAAAUAGCUAAAUUAUUAAUUGCAGGAAAGUAUUUUAAAACAACCGAGAAAAGUUAUCUUUCAGGAUUAUUUAACAUGCCCUGCCAUUGCAGAAGGUCCUAGGAAUAUUUAAAAUAUGCUAAAGUCCCCAAGGGCACUUUAUACAAAGGAUGCAUUUUACCCAAAGGAUGGAAAGAUCAAGAGGGGGCAAACAAGCCAGCAGAGACCCCCCCAAAAAAUAUCCUUAGGGGCUGGUUCCCAAAGGGAUACCUCUCUGGAUGCCUGUGUGUCAAAACCCAGGACAUCUCUCUGGAUGCUCUGGAUGUCUCAAAGCCCUGGCACGGGCUUGGAGACCCUGGCAGAAAGUCAAAGACACCUGGAAAUUUGAUCUCAACUCAUGGAGCAAAUUACCAACAUUAUAUGAAGAAUUACAGGUCACAAAAGUUUAAGUAGCAUAGUAGUAGCAAUCACAGGGUGAAGGGAAAAAUUUUGGAGCACUGUACAGGGGGGUUUUGAACCUUCUACAAGGGGGUUUGGAAUUCUGUACAUGGGGGUCAGGGGUUCUAAGAUGGAGGGAUUUGGGCGUGCCCUGUCCUUCUUCUUUCUUCUCCUUGGCAUCCAUGUUCAGGAUGAUGUUGGCAUUCACAGAUUGGUUUAGAGUAGAAAGUCACUGUUUAACAUAGGUGAUAGGUAUUAGAAAAUAACUGUAAACAUAGUAUACGUAGUUUUUAGUAUAAAAGAUAGCACCAGCCCGAAAGGCAGAGAGUGUGCCUCAGACAGACCUGCAGAACAGACCUUGGCAGGCCAGACAGAAAAUGUUUGAGGUAAAGAAAUAAUAAACAACCUUGAGAACGUGAACCGAAGACUUCUCGACUCCUUCGGCUGCUGGGCUGGGGAAAAGAGACUUUUAACAGAGACACACCUUGGGAUCUUCCCAACCAGACCAGAGGAGAUCCGGAGACCUGUGCAAGUCUUCUGCUCAGCAAAGGCUAUCAUCAUCCUAUCAUCAGCAGCCUCAUUGUGGGAGCUCCACGACCAUGUACACCCAUUUCCUCCUAGCUCACAAGCUCCAUGCUGGAGCCUCAGUGCUGCUGUCCUGACAGCCAUCCCAGCCAUCCUGGCCUCUCCAAGCUAAGAAAAGCAGUGAUGCUGAGACUGGUGGCUCUGCACAAGACUUACAGCAAGCCCCUAUAUCUAUCACCAAGCCAGAAGAUGGACAAGCACAAGUGCUUCUGAAGCAGAUAGAAGUAUCCAUUACCAGAGGGCACAAGACAACUACAUCAAUGGACUGUAUAGC